UUUUAUGGUGGCUGUGCGCAGGGCACCCUCGGGUGCGCCGGUUUCCUAACGUCCCGGUCGACUAACCUGCGUACAGCCGCCACCCCA
rnacentral:antisense_RNA from 2 species